UCACGGUACGAUGGAUUAACGCGUUUGUCGCAGUCAUUGAGAAAAUUUCACGAGCGACAUUACGAACAAGCAAAGAGAGAGAGAGAGAGAGAGAAGGGUAAAACGUCAGCGCUUUUGCACGAACGCGCGCUCGUUAGCGGGAUUCAGCGGGAAUUGCAAAAAUAAUAUUUGGCCGGCGUUAAGUUAACGGGCGGUAUGCUCGUACCUCGUUAACUUCGUCGCUGGCCACGAGCGAAUUAUUGCUUCCGUUUCGGCACCCGCGCGAAAACAGUGCGCGACCCGCGCGAGAAAAAUCACGACUCCCACGCGGAUUAGCGCGAGCGUUGCACGGACUGCAUAAGGAUUACGUGACGGACUGCACCGACCGGGCCGAUGAUGCGCUCUCUCGAAGGUGCAUGCCGACCGUCCAAAUAAUUAGUAGCAAAAUGCAAUGCGAGACUGCGGAAUAUUUUACUGAAAGUCUGCUCGUGCAUGCUGCACGUUGCAUAAUAAAAUAACAAAAACGAUUAUAUAAUGAUAAUAAAUAAUAAAAUUAGAUUACUGUAGCUUUUGAAAUAUGUUUUAUUAAAUCAAAUUGUGUUCACAAAUUUUGUAUAGAAUUCAUAUUACGACAUACGUCUCCCAUACGCAAUUUCCAUAGAGUUUGCUAAAAAUUUAUAUAAUAAUAAAAAAUUGUGUACAUAAUAGAGUUACAUAUUAUUUUACGUGCUAUAAUAAAAGUAACCGGCAGCUGAACAACAAAGGAGGGUCGGCGCAAUUAAAAACAAUUGGCAACUUUUGUAUGUUGUAUAAUUCAUACAGCUUUUAGCUAUGCGCGUGCUCUGUUUGUCGCUUAGGAUUUUAUGACUCGUAAUAAAUUUAUCCGAUCGUGCAUACAAUAGGACAUGGAAUAUUGUAUUAUUAAAUCGAGAGAGGCCGGCCGUGUGCACCUGUUACGGACAUCUCCCGCGUAAUCCAUAUUUUACAAACGCAAUAUCGAUAGCCGCCAGCGAGAUAUUUCCUUUGUUCCGCCUAGAAUUAACAUCAUUAAUAAAUUGCAGCAUCGAGAAUGACUAGCAGCGUUUCGUUCAGACUCGUGCGCGUAAUUCGCAAAGAACAAUCGUAGAGACGACUGCUGUUGAGGUGCGAAAAAUUUCUCUAUAAAAUUUGCAAUACCAACGGAGCGAAACGCAAUUACAAUGCGCGCAACUGUCAAAAUGAUGGAAGCUUUAAUCCUACUUUAAUUUAUUUUCAAAACGGAGACAGCUUUCCAUAUACAGAUCAAAGUGUAAGCACAAAGAUGCACAAGGUAUCUCAAUUUAAUUUUUAUGUGUCCGACAAAUAAGCUAUGAUAUAACCAAUAAUUAUAACACAAGCAAAUAUAUAUAAUUAUAAUACAAGCAAAUUAUUAUAUUAACAAUCCGCAUUUCCUGGCAAUCUGGAGAUCUAAUUAACCUAAUUGUUUAUUAUUAAUUCAUCCGAUAGCGUUAUUCAAAUUAAUACAUCCCGAACAUCCGCGAAACAAAUAUGGAAAUCAAUGUUCGUACAUGCGAAGAUGGAAUAUAACUAUUAAUGUAAAAGUGGAAUAUUAUUGAGAGGAAUUGGAAACGACAUCAAAACUAUCAUUUUCCCAAUGAUACUUCUCGAUUACCUAUACCUAUUACGUAACAAUAUGCAUACAUCAAUACACAAUAUUUUACAAGAGAGAAAAAAAAUGUGUAUGUAAAUCAUACCGCUCGCAAUUUGCAACAUGCGGUUUAUCGAUUUUUUCCACUCCUUAAGAAAACAAAAUUUGAGUUAUUUAUUUAUACUAUUAUUUAUAUAAGUGAAAAACUGCAUUUCUUAAAUAUCAAAGAGAAAUUUAACCGCUGGGUACUGGAUAUCGUUAAACAUUUUAAUUAUACAUGUAAUAUGUAAACACAUUAAUUUAAAAUUAAUGUGAGGAUACAUUAAUAUAUUGGUAUUACGUCAUGUUUAAUACAAAUUCUUGUAAAUAGCUGGUUAAUUUGCCUAAAAUAAUUUGUUCAUUAGAAAAGAUCAAGAUGACGAAUGACUCUGCUUUUUCAUCUCGUGUAUCAAAACUUAUGGUAAUAUUUUCUACGAAAAUGGACUUUGUCCUUUUUUUUAUAUUGUCAUAUUUAAAAAAACCUAUACAAAACGCGUUUUCUUCACACGUUGGUUAGUUUAUUUAAGGUCACAUUAACACCGCGACAGUUUCUUUGUGACAACGGUAGAGAUUUAAAAAAACAGGUUUUUAAAAACUCGGAAUAAAAAAAUUAAGUAAAAAAAAUCGAUUUUUACAAAAAAUUUUCAAAGACGAUAUAGAAUUACUUUUCUUGAUAUUUAUCGUUAAAAUGUUCAAUAUCUAUAUUAUUUCAGUAUUAUUUAUCUUUGGCUUUAUAACUUUAAAUAUUAAGACGGAAACGUUGCAGUAAUACAAUGCCUAAUAGCAAAUUGCAUUCGCUCUAAGAGUGCACUAAUAGCGAAUUUGAUCUUUGCAUUUACAUUUUUUACGAUCUUUAUAUUUUUUUAUAGAAAAUUUUUUUAAUAAAUGUAAGAAUUGAAUUCUAGAACAAUAAUAUGGCGUUAAAUGUUGAAAGAAAAUUUAUAUCCAAAUAAAAUACUUUUAGGAUCAGAGUAAAUACUUUUCAUGUCUAGACAGCUGUAUCAUACUAUCUAUUUGAUAAAAUGAAUAAUAAUAAUAUAUUAUUAUGUGUGUGAAACAAAAACGUGUGAAAGCCUUAACUACUUCGAGGAAUAAAUGUAUGUUUACGCAUUCUCUUAGUCAAGAGGUAUUUAUCAUGCUUUUAGCAUAAAUUAUCAUUGAAAACAUCGAUUCUCAUCAAAAUUAGGUUUUUACAUAGUUUUUUACCUGCUUUUUUAAGCUAUUACGACAUAAACGAGAUAUAUUUUCAAACACAUACACAAACAAACAAACACAUACACACACA